AUUUAGACGAGGACGAAACCGAAGUAGAAACAAUCUCCCUGUUUCAGAGAGCACGUGGCGCUGCGAACGUGUACACAGAUUGAAUCGAAUUACAGUUUCUGAGUCUCUUGCGAAGCAAGCGGAGAAAACCGUUAUCCCGUAAUGAAGUGAUUCGUGCUAAGCAUGGAUUAUCAGGGUGGUACCGCGGCUUUCGUCGUCCCUGUC
rnacentral:ncRNA from 2 species